rnacentral:rRNA from 1 species
GUCUAUGGCCAUGCUACCCUGAACAAGCCCGAUCCCAUCUGAUCUCGGAAACUAAGCAGGGUCGGGCCUGGUUAGUACUUGGAUGGGAAACCACCUAAGAAGACUAUGUGCUGUAGGUA